rnacentral:rRNA from 1 species
GCAAUGCCUGCCCAGUGCGAUUAACUUCGUAAACGGCCGCCCUAGCGUGAGGGUGCUAAGGUAGCGAAAUUCCUUGCCUUUUAAUUGUAGGCCUGCAUGAAUGGCUCGACGAGGGUUUAACUGUCUCUAGUCUUAUAUUUUAAAUUGGAUUAAAGGUGAAGAUACCUUUAUAAAAAAGUCAGACAAGAAGACCCCGUGCAACUUUUAAAAUCAGCUUAUUAAGAAAUCUUAGAUUUUUAGGUGGGGCGCCUAUUAAGUAAGUGUAACCUUUUUAACUACAAAAAACUCUCAGGUAUAGACCCGGUAAUUACCGAUCAUAGGAGAAGUUACGCCGGGGAUAACAGGCUAAUUCACUAGUAGAGAACGUAUUGGCUAGUGAGAUUGGCACCUCGAUGUUGAAUCAGGGAUGAUACCUUUAAGGCGUAGAAGCUUUAA